rnacentral:misc_RNA from 1 species
AACGCACAUUGCGCCCUUUGGUAUUCCGAAGGGCAUGCCUGUUCGAGCGUCAUUAUCACCCCUCAAGCCCCGUGCUCGGUGUUGGACGGCCGGUCGAGCGAUCGACCCCUCCUAAAGACAAUGACGGCGACCUGUGGUUCCCCCGGUACACUGAGCUUUUAACUGAGCACGUAUCGGACAAGGGCACCCGGGACCCGGUCCUCUCCUUUAACUAGGAAACUUCUAAGGUUGACCUCGGAUCAGGUAGGAAUACGCGCUGAACUUAA